UACGUAGGGGCCGAGCGUUGUCCGGAGUUAUUGGGCGUAAAGCGCGCGCAGGCGGCUUCGCGCGCCCGACGUGAAAGCCCCCGGCUUAACCGGGGAGGGUCGUUGGGGACGGCGAGGCUUGAGGGCGGGAGAGGGUGGUGGAAUUCCCGGUGUAGUGGUGAAAUGCGUAGAGAUCGGGAGGAACACCUGUGGCGAAGGCGGCCACCUGGGCCGACCCUGACGCUGAGGCGCGAAGGCGUGGGGAGCGAACGGGAUUAGAAACCCCCGUAGUCC
rnacentral:rRNA from 1 species